rnacentral:rRNA from 1 species
UGUUUAAAACUUGUUAAAUUAAAAUAAAAGUUUAUGUGAAGAAAGAAAAAUAAUUUUUUAGUUUAUAUUUAAGUAGAAUAAAGAAAUAAGUUAAGACUAACUAUAGAAAAAAGUAUUGUAAAAGAAAGUUAAAAAAACAAAAGNUNGUAGAUGUAUAAUUUCGUGCCUUGUGUAUCAGAAAAAAUUUAUUUAUUCAAAUUAUAUUGAUGUCUCGAAAUAAAAUAUAGUUAAUUUUAUAAAAAAUCUUUUUUUGAAAAAAAAUUUUUAAUUUAGAAUUAAAAGUGAAAUGCUAUUUGAGUUUUAUUAUAUCUAGUUUUUUUAAAAAUAAAUUUAAUUUAGUUUUUACAUAGAUAAAUGUAAAAUUAAAUGGUAGGAAGGAUAAGCUUUUUAUGGAAAAUAGAAGUAAAUAGUUUAAUUUAAAAUAAUUGUAGAAUUUAGCUUAAAAGUAGCUAUAUUAAUAAAGUGUUUUAACUUAUUUAUAAGGAAAAAUAUUUGUAUAAACUUUUUUUAUUAUAAAGAAAUUAGUUUAAUUAAAAUUUAUUAAGAUAUAAUGAUUUUAUUAGUAUUUUUGGGAAGAAAAAUUAAUGUUAAAUUAAUAUAGAUUAGAAAAAUAAAAUUAUGAUAGUAUAAAGGAAUUNANCAAAAAGUUUUUUCACCUGUUUAACAAAAACAUGUUUUUUUGAAGAUAAAAAAAGUNAAGCCUGCCCACUGAAAUUUUUGAAGGGCCGCGGUAUUUUGACCGUGCAAAGGUAGCGUAAUCGUUAGUUCUUUAAUUGAGAUCUUGUAUGAAUGGUUAGAUAAGAAAAAGUCUGUCUCUGUAUUAAAAAUUGAAUUUAACUUUUAAGUGAAAAGGCUUAAAUUUAUUAAAGGGACGAUAAGACCCUAUAAAGCUUAACGUUUAUAAUUUUGUUAGAAAAAUUAAUUAAUAUAAAAAUUAAAAUGAUUAAAUUCGUUUUAUUGGGGUGAUAAAAGUAAAAUGAUUUUUAACUGCUUAAAAAUGUUUACAUAUGUGUAUGAUUGAUUUGUAAAUGAUCCUUUUUAGAGAUUAAAAGUUUAAGUUACUUUAGGGAUAACAGCGUUAUUUUUUUUGAGAGUACAAAUCGAAAAAAAAGUUUGCGACCUCGAUGUUG